rnacentral:rRNA from 1 species
GACAGAGGGUGCAAACGUUGUUCGGAAUUACUGGCGUAAGCGUGUGUAGGCGGCCACGUAAGUCGGAUGUGAAAGCCCCAGGCUCAACCUGGGAAGUGCACUCGAUACUGCGUGGCUUGAGUAUCGGAGAGGUUGGUGGAAUUCUCGGUGUAGAGGUGAAAUUCGUAGAUAUCGAGAGGAACACCGGUGGCGAAGGCGGCCAACUGGACGAAUACUGACGCUCAGGCGCGACAGCGUGGGGAUCAAACAGG